rnacentral:rRNA from 1 species
AGAGGCGGAGUCUUACCGAGUUUACACUCCCAAACCCAAUCUGUGAACGUUACCAAACUGUUGCCUCGGCGGGGUCACGCCCCGGGUGCGUCGCAGCCCCGGAACCAGGCGCCCGCCGGAGGAACCAACCAAACUCUUUCUGUAGUCCCCUCGCGGACGUAUUUCUUACAGCUCUGAGCAAAAAUUCAAAAUGAAUCAAAACUUUCAACAACGGAUCUCUUGGUUCUGGCAUCGAUGAAGAACGCAGCGAAAUGCGAUAAGUAAUGUGAAUUGCAGAAUUCAGUGAAUCAUCGAAUCUUUGAACGCACAUUGCGCCCGCCAGUAUUCUGGCGGGCAUGCCUGUCCGAGCGUCAUUUCAACCCUCGAACCCCUCCGGGGGAUCGGCGUUGGGGAUCGGGACCCCUCACACGGGUGCCGGCCCCUAAAUACAGUGGCGGUCUCGCCGCAGCCUCUCCUGCGCAGUAGUUUGCACAACUCGCACCGGGAGCGCGGCGCGCCCACGUCCGUAAAACACCCAACUUUCUGAAAUGUUGACCUCGGAUCAGGUAGGAAUACCCGCUGAACUUAAGCAUAUCAAAUAGAACGGGAGGA